UGCAAUAUAGUUUAUAUUAAAACACUUAUUUUACACGUAAGAGUAUCCUUUAGAGGGUUUUGUAA
rnacentral:tRNA from 1 species